rnacentral:tRNA from 5 species
UCCCCCUUAGUGUAAUUGGCAGCACGACUGUCUUUGGAACAGUUAGUUCGAGUUCGAGUCUCGCCGGGGGAGC